AAUGCGGCUAGGGUAGCUCCCGAAAGCUGGUUCCCCUGAACCGGCCCGCCGCAUUCUUAUAUUCGUCAGGGG
rnacentral:sRNA from 20 species